rnacentral:rRNA from 1 species
CAGCCGUAAACAAUGUGCGUUAGGUGUGUCGGUAACCACGCGUUACUGAUGCGCCGAAGAGAAAUCGUGAAACGCACCACCUGGGAAGUACGGUCGCAAGGCUGAAACUUAAAGGAAUUGGCGGGGGAGCACCACAACAGGUGGAGCCUGCGGUUUAAUUUGGAUUCAACGCCGGACAUCUCACCGGAUAAGACAGCUGAAUGAUUGUCAAUCUGAAGGUUUUACAUGACUAGCUGAGAGGUGGUGCAUGGCGUCAGUGACU